rnacentral:rRNA from 1 species
GACGAACGCUGGCGGCGUGCUUAACACAUGCAAGUCGAGCGGUAAGGCCCUUUCGGGGGGUACACGAGCGGCGAACGGGUGAGUAACACGUGGGUGACCUGCCCUCAGCUCUGGGAUAAGCCUGGGAAACCGGGUCUAAUACCGGAUAUGACUCCAUGACGCAUGUUGUGGGGUGGAAAGCCUUGUGCGGCUGAGGAUGGGGCCCGCGGCCUAUCAGCUUGUUGGNGGGGUGAUGGCCUACCAAGGCGACGACGGGUAGCCGGCCUGAGAGGGCGACCGGCCACACUGGGACUGAGACACGGCCCAGACUCCUACGGGAGGCAGCAGUGGGGAAUCUUGCGCAAUGGGCGAAAGCCUGACGCAGCGACGCCGCGUGAGGGAUGACGGCCUGGU